AAUCCAUAGGUUAAUGAGGCGAACCGGGGGAACUGAAACAUCUAAGUACCCCGAGGAAAAGAAAUCAACCGAGAUUCCCCCAGUAGCGGCGAGCGAACGGGGAGGAGCCCAGAGCCUGAAUCAGCAUGUGUGUUAGUGGAAGCGUCUGGAAAGGCGCGCGAUACAGGGUGACAGCCCCGUACACAAAAGCGCAUGUGCUGUGAGCUCGAUGAGUAGGGCGGGACACGUGGUAUCCUGUCUGAAUAUGGGGGGACCAUCCUCCAAGGCUAAAUACUCCUGACUGACCGAUAGUGAACCAGUACCGUGAGGGAAAGGCGAAAAGAACCCCGGCGAGGGGAGUGAAAAAGAACCUGAAACCGUGUACGUACAAGCAGUGGGAGCACCCUUUGGGUGUGACUGCGUACCUUUUGUAUAAUGGGUCAGCGACUUAUAUUCUGUAGCAAGGUUAACCGAAUAGGGGAGCCGGAGGGAAACCGAGUCUUAAUUGGGCGUUAAGUUGCAGGGUAUAGACCCGAAACCCGGUGAUCUAGCCAUGGGCAGGUUGAAGGUUGGGUAACACUAACUGGAGGACCGAACCGACUAAUGUUGAAAAAUUAGCGGAUGACCUGUGGCUGGGGGUGAAAGGCCAAUCAAACCGGGAGAUAGCUGGUUCUCCCCGAAAGCUAUUUAGGUAGCGCCUCGUGAAUUCAUCUCCGGGGGUAGAGCACUGUUUCGGCUAGGGGGCCAUCCCGGCUUACCAACCCGAUGCAAACUGCGAAUACCGGAGAAUGUUAUCACGGGAGACACACGGCGGGUGCUAACGUCCGUCGUGAAGAGGGAAACAACCCAGACCGCCAGCUAAGGUCCCAAAGUCAUGGUUAAGUGGGAAACGAUGUGGGAAGGCCCAGACAGCCAGGAUGUUGGCUUAGAAGCAGCCAUCAUUUAAAGAAAGCGUAAUAGCUCACUGGUCGAGUCGGCCUGCGCGGAAGAUGUAACGGGGCUAAACCAUGCACCGAAGCUGCGGCAGCGACGCUUAUGCGUUGUUGGGUAGGGGAGCGUUCUGUAAGCCUGCGAAGGUGGCCUGUGAGGGUUGCUGGAGGUAUCAGAAGUGCGAAUGCUGACAUAAGUAACGAUAAAGCGGGUGAAAAGCCCGCUCGCCGGAAGACCAAGGGUUCCUGUCCAACGUUAAUCGGGGCAGGGUGAGUCGACCCCUAAGGCGAGGCCGAAAGGCGUAGUCGAUGGGAAACGGGUUAAUAUUCCCGUACUUGGUGUUACUGCGAAGGGGGGACGGAGAAGGCUAUGUUGGCCGGGCGACGGUUGUCCCGGUUUAAGCGUGUAGGCUGGUUUUCCAGGCAAAUCCGGAAAAUCAAGGCUGAGGCGUGAUGACGAGGCACUACGGUGCUGAAGCAACAAAUGCCCUGCUUCCAGGAAAAGCCUCUAAGCAUCAGGUAACAUCAAAUCGUACCCCAAACCGACACAGGUGGUCAGGUAGAGAAUACCAAGGCGCUUGAGAGAACUCGGGUGAAGGAACUAGGCAAAAUGGUGCCGUAACUUCGGGAGAAGGCACGCUGACACGUAGGUGAAGUGAUUUACUCACGGAGCUGAAGUCAGUCGAAGAUACCAGCUGGCUGCAACUGUUUAUUAAAAACACAGCACUGUGCAAACACGAAAGUGGACGUAUACGGUGUGACGCCUGCCCGGUGCCGGAAGGUUAAUUGAUGGGGUCAGCGCAAGCGAAGCUCCUGAUCGAAGCCCCGGUAAACGGCGGCCGUAACUAUAACGGUCCUAAGGUAGCGAAAUUCCUUGUCGGGUAAGUUCCGACCUGCACGAAUGGCGUAAUGAUGGCCAGGCUGUCUCCACCCGAGACUCAGUGAAAUUGAACUCGCUGUGAAGAUGCAGUGUACCCGCGGCAAGACGGAAAGACCCCGUGAACCUUUACUAUAGCUUGACACUGAACAUUGAGCCUUGAUGUGUAGGAUAGGUGGGAGGCUUUGAAGUGUGGACGCCAGUCUGCAUGGAGCCGACCUUGAAAUACCACCCUUUAAUGUUUGAUGUUCUAACGUGGACCCGUUACCCGGGUUGCGGACAGUGUCUGGUGGGUAGUUUGACUGGGGCGGUCUCCUCCUAAAGAGUAACGGAGGAGCACGAAGGUUGGCUAAUCCUGGUCGGACAUCAGGAGGUUAGUGCAAUGGCAUAAGCCAGCUUGACUGCGAGCGUGACGGCGCGAGCAGGUGCGAAAGCAGGUCAUAGUGAUCCGGUGGUUCUGAAUGGAAGGGCCAUCGCUCAACGGAUAAAAGGUACUCCGGGGAUAACAGGCUGAUACCGCCCAAGAGUUCAUAUCGACGGCGGUGUUUGGCACCUCGAUGUCGGCUCAUCACAUCCUGGGGCUGAAGUAGGUCCCAAGGGUAUGGCUGUUCGCCAUUUAAAGUGGUACGCGAGCUGGGUUUAGAACGUCGUGAGACAGUUCGGUCCCUAUCUGCCGUGGGCGCUGGAGAACUGAGGGGGGCUGCUCCUAGUACGAGAGGACCGGAGUGGACGCAUCACUGGUGUUCGGGUUGUCAUGCCAAUGGCACUGCCCGGUAGCUAAAUGCGGAAGAGAUAAGUGCUGAAAGCAUCUAAGCACGAAACUUGCCCCGAGAUGAGUUCUCCCUGAGACUUAGAGUCUCCUGAAGGAACGUUGAAGACGACGACGUUGAUAGGCCGGGUGUGUAAGCGCAGCGAUGCGUUGAGCUAACCGGUACUAAUGAACCGUGAGGCUUAACCUUACAACGCCG
rnacentral:rRNA from 1 species